rnacentral:rRNA from 1 species
UCUUCUGCUCAAAUGUUUUUUAAAUUGCUGUAGUAUUUUGACUAUACAAAGGUAUUGUAAUAAGACUUUAAUUGAGUGCUAAGAGAAUGGAUUUUCAAAAAAAUUCUUUUUUAAGUUUAAAAAUUAAAGUUAUUUUUAUUUGUGAAGAAACAAUAAUAAAAAUUAAAGACAAGAAGACCCUAUGAAUUUUUAUAAACUUUAAUAUUUAAUUAAAUAUUAAAGUUUAUUUAAUUGGGGCGAUUGAGAAAGAUAAAAAACUUUUUUUUAUUUAAAGAGAUCCAUUAUUAAUGAUUUUAUGUAAAAAAUACUCUAGGGAUAACAGCGUAAUAAUUUUAGAUAGAUCUUAUAGAAAAAAUAGUUUGCGACCUCGAUGUUGGAUUAGGAUACUUGUUUAAUGAAGAAGUUAAAUAAAGAAGUUUGUUCAACUUUUAAAAUCCUACUUGAUCUGAGUCCAGACCGGAAGA